AAAAAGGGCUUCUGCUGUGCGUGGCACGGGGGGGCCUCGCGGCCGCCCUCCCGGAAUCGACAUCAAGAGAUUUCGGGA
rnacentral:snRNA from 1 species